rnacentral:rRNA from 1 species
AUUGAACGCUGGCGGCAGGCCUAACACAUGCAAGUCGAACGCGUGGCGGACGGGUGAGUAAUGUCUGGGAAACUGCCUGAUGUAGUGGGAUAACUACUGGAAACGGUAGCUAAUACCGCAUACCAUCGGAUGUGCCAAGAUGGGAUUAGCUAGUAGGUGGGGUAAAGGCACACCUAGGCGACGAUCCCUAGCUGGUCUGAGAGGCUGAACAGCCACACGAGAACUGAGACACGGUCCGGACUACUACGGGAUGAAGCAGUGGGGAAUAUUGCACAAUGGGCGGAAGCCUGAUGCAGCCAUGCCGCGGGUAUGAAGAAGGCCUGCGGGUUGUAAAGUACUUUCAGCGGGGAGGCGUUACCCGCAGAAGAAGCACCGGCUAACUCCGUGCCAGCAGCCGCGGUAAUAC